CGUUUCCUUUUCACGUCGUCCCUUGCAAACCCUAGCCGCCGCACCAACGCCAUCCUGCGGUCGACCAUCGCAUUGCUUCCCUCUGCUGUGCUGGUCCUCCGUCGCCGCCAAAUUGGGGAUCGGCCUUCUGCUAGGUUUCUACUCCCUUCCAAUCACGUGCACAACACGGAGUUGUAGUCGUGCUCUUCCCCAAGGGCGUCCAGCGGGUGUGCGGUGCCGUGCAACACUGCGGUUGGGGCAGCCGUCGGGAGCCCUCCCUUGUCGCGCACCUCGCCGAAUAGACAGAGAGGGGAGGUUUCCCCUGCGUCGAGCUCUGGAAGGCACCCAACUGACUGCCCCAUUGUCGCUGGCAUCUGAUGAUGUCGGCAGUGUCACCCAGGAAGUGGUUGGUGCCCAACCUGGCCGCUCACCCGAGCCUCGCCAACCACCAGCCGACGCCUCGUGCCCGCUGCUUGAUCUUGGGUCACCAUCGACUUAGUCGCCGAUCACACGGGCGCCGCGGCCCUGCCCUAUGGUGGUAUAUCUCUCUUCCCCCCUCCGCCAAAUCGUACAUCCGUGUUUGUGUUUGCAUUGUGUGCGUGUGUGCUAUGCUUGAGUAUUGUGAUGGGCGUGCUCUAUGUGUGGCUUCCUAGCAUGUGUGAGUGUGUGAUCUCCACCGAUUGAUGCUUGUAUGAACUCAUUGUGUGUGCGUGCGUGCUGCUUGCUGGGUGUCGAUGGAUGCUUGUUGCGUGUGCAUGCCUGUUUGGUGUUUGCUGCAUCAAGCAACAACUAUACAUGUUAUUUUCUAAUUUUGGUGCCUGAAUAUAUGGCUUAUGUGGAUGUAUAUAACCAAGUAAGCUGAAGAGACAAAAGUACAUAUUGGUAUGCAAUAGUUAAUUUCUUGAUCUUGUACUGAUUACACACAAUUUCAAUCCAUUGCUUGGUCAUGUGCUUCUUUUUCCCUUGGUUGAUUAUGGACUACAUCAUUAACUUAUAAAUUACAAAUUAGAUACCAUCUCCAACAUAAGAUCCCGUGUUCACAUUUAUAAGUUUUUCAUUUUUUGUUCAAUCCUUCUAGCAUUUAUCGAUGUAAUAUUUUACGAUCUCCAUUCCUUUUGCUUACAGGCUUGGUUCUGUGCCACUUUGUUUCUUAGAAGCUACAGUCUCCAUAAUAAGGCAUACUCCUUUUUUUUACUUAGCAGCAUAACUUUUUGUCCAUCAUUUUGUGCAAUAAAUUAGCAAGUAAAUUGAUGGUGGGAGUCUCAGCUAUGCCGACAGUGUCUCCAACAUGGUGGCGGUCUUGGCGGAUGCCACCAUGUGAGCUUUAGCUCAUCGGCGUUGUAGCGUGGAGUGGUUUCCUUCACAGUUGCUGCACUACAGUCAUAUGCAUCUCUUCUGUCUUGUUAGAUACAUCAUUCGUAUAGGAGCAAGCUGGAAUUGUUGCAUUGAAUAGUAGUGUGCAAAUUUAAUAGGCCAUGGGGAUUAGAACUAAAAGUGAACCUUCAAGUUUUAAAAUGUAACCAAAAGUAAUAUGUUGACAAAGAGCCACUAUUCUAUGAUAUUUAACAAUAAUCUGUUGAUUAAGUAUGCCAUGCUCAUUAGUAAAAACAUUGAGCAAAGCGGUCCUAUUAUAAACUAUUUGGAAUUGCAAUUCAUAUGUUACCCUUUUUAUAUGGUUUUCUGGUCCAAAUUACAUGUGCUGGUGCAGUUGAAUAAUUUUGAGUCUAACAAACCUGGUCCAGCAACCGAAAUUUCUGCAAAUCAAAAGGAAUACCUAGAGAAAACACAACCAAAAAUCCAAUUUCUGUACCACUUUAGUUAGCUCCUACCAUGAUGAAGACGAGUCCCUGUGUGAUCGUAGUAUCACUCAAACAUUCCCAAAGAGUGCCGGAUAUCCCUGUAUAGAGUAGAUGGACAUCUACUUUAGCUUGUUCGUUGAUUCCUUAAUUCUGCUAGAUGUGAUUCUUGAUGCUCUGCUGCUGGUGGAUUUUGAAUAGUAAGAUCUCCAGUUUAUGUCUAAUAUUUUUUUAUAACUGAAUUAUGUCGAUUGUUUCUUGUACACAACAAUUGUUAGUACUACUUGUUAUAUACAGGAAAAUAGAUGAAGCCAGAGGUUCUUUUUCUGGAUGAUUAUAAAUCUGAGAGAAUGACGUAUUAGGUUGUGUAGGUUUACCACUGAUUUGUGUCCUUGACGAAGUCAUUUUUGCUUGCUUUUUACAAUAAUGAAUUACACGUUUCUUGCUUAUGAACAAGUGAUUGCAUCUCUUCUUAUUGCAUGAACAAUAUAUCUACUGGUAAAGCGGCAUCUCAACCAAGAGUGCUGACACCAGCAUCCACGCAUCCAUGAGCCACUUACAGUCGUGCCUCUUGGAUCGGGGAGCAUAUGGGGCAACACAUGCAGGCGAUGACAACGGAUAUUUCCUCUCCCAUCGGCUGCCUCUAAUUGUGGCACAUGGUAUUGAAAUCAACACCACUCACCUCACCAUGCCCAUUCCCUGGGUCGCACCUUCUCGAUGGUGGAGCAACCACUAACAUGAUGGAAGAUGAGGAAUACGAGUUUUUGCACAUGCAUGUUCGAUGAAAUAUAGUGCAUGUACUAUAUUCUCAUGUGUUUGGUUCUUGAUAGGUCUGUGUUGUAUCUACUUUUCCUAACGAUUUUCCUCUUGUUUUGGACUCUAAUUUGCAUGAUUUGAAUGAAACUAAUCCA